rnacentral:rRNA from 1 species
UACGUAGGGUGCGAGCGUUGUCCGGAAUUAUUGGGCGUAAAGAGCUCGUAGGCGGCUUGUCGCGUCGGAUGUGAAAGCCCGAAGCUUAACCCCGGAUCUGCAUUCGAUACAGGCAGGCUAGAGUGUAAUAAAGGAGAUCAGAAUUCCUGGUGUAGCGGUGAAAUGCACAGAUAUCAGGAGGAACACCGAUAGCGAAAACGGAUCUCUGGACCAUUACUGACGCUGAAGAGCGAAAGCGUAAGGAGCGAACAAG